rnacentral:misc_RNA from 1 species
AUCGAAGGCGCGACAGUCCAAAGCGAAAUUGCAUGAUUACCGGUUGGCGUUCGGCAUUGAAGCCCCCAUAAAAGCCCUAAAGGCUCAAUAAAUGUAUCGGAUUACAAUCGAGCAAUCCUAAGCCAAUCCGCGAACAAUUUCCGAUAAUUGAAGCUUCACAUUCCACUUAGUUCUCGCGGCUGUAUCCGGGGCAACAGCGGGUCGAUGCGCGCAGAAAUUGACGCUGUUUUUCGCAGAUUUCCCAGAUGUUGGUCGGGAAACGUCCCCAGUCAAUCUGUGCGUUUCCUUCAUUGCACUCGCAACAGUUUCAGUUUCCGUAUUAGUUUCUUCCGUUUUACUACUUUCAGCGCUUCUGGGUGCCAGUUGAGGCGAUGUGCUCACCAAAAAAACAUGUUCCCUCUGUAACGCCCAUUCAAAAAUAACAAUGACGGCAUGAAAACCUCUCUCGUUCUCCUCUCGCUCUACCUCUCCACUGUCCUCUCCAACCACCAAGAGCCCUGUACCACUCGCACCCUUUCCUCAACUGUCCCACCAUCCAGAUUGAACUUCAAUGCCUCUUUUCUGGUGCAAAACAUUGAAGAGGAGCUUCACCGAAGCAGCAACUUUACAUCAGCAGCUCGCAACAUUCUGUCCCGACAAUGGGACAUUGCUGGCGCCAUUCUGGCUACUCCAAAGGAGCACAUUCUGGCACUGAACCUCAACUCCAGAUUGAGGAUGUUCGUCAACCAAACGCCCGAGACUCAGUUGUUCUGGAGAGUGUUUGAGGCAACAGCCAGUGGCUGGGGAGCGCCAUUUAAGGACUGUCACUUCUUCGGAGGUUCCUGGCUGUACAUCUACGCCUAUGGAGGCUCUAGAGGAGCGAAAAUUGGGCUGUUUGCACCAGUGGUUCUGGAUGAGUGUGAUGGUGGCAUUGCGGAGAUUUUCGGAGGGCCCCAUAAGUGCAGGGAAAACCAAAUGUGCGUUGACGGUGAAACCUGGAAAAAUGCAAAAAGGGGCCAAUACACUUGCCGGUGCAAUCCGGGGUAUUUUUAUCCGGAUUCCCACGCUACCUGGGCAGGACUGAAGGGGAAAGAUCUGGAAAGCGGGCGCAUCAGUAACUUUGACUGCCAGCCGUGUCCAGAAAUCUGUCCGGCUAAUUGCGUCGGAAACGGGACAUGUCCGAUCCAGAGAAUGGCCUACUUGAGGACCGCCAUCCUGCUCGUCCAGCUGACCAGUAUGGGAUUCGUAAUGUUUUUAGCUGGGAUGGUGUUUGUGCUGCGAAAAACCAAAGCCAUUGCAGUUGGUAUGUGGACCAUUUUAGAAACUAUCCUAGUAGGUGUUCUUGUUCUGUACAGCACGGUGAUAAUACGUCUGUUUGAGCCAUCGGUUUCCCGGUGCCUCUUGGAACCGUGGUUCAGAGAAAUGGGGUUCGUCGUCUGCUAUGGAUCGAUCAUUCUGAAGCUCUAUCGGCAUUUGAUCGAGUUCAGAACCCGCAAAGCCCACAGAUGGGUGGUCAAAGACACGGAUCUACUGAAGUACCUGCUGAUCAUGUUCUUGUCCGCUUUAGCUUACAUGGCCGCUUACACAGCGCUGACGUUGAACUUUAUCAGCGAGGACUUUUCGCUGAUCGAAACCAGCUGGACCGGCUCAGGCGAGCUGUUUGAGACUUGCAAGUACCUAUGGUGGGAUUACGUCACAGAAGUGGGAGAAUUGACGAUUUUGGCCUUUGGGGUUCACUUGGCCUAUGCGAGUCGGAAUGCCAACACGCAAUUUCACGAAAGCACGUUUCUUUGCGCAACUGGCAGCAUAGAAUUGGCGGUGAGCUUUCUGUUCUACCUAGCUAGAAUAUUCGUGUUCCACAAAUUGCACCCGGACAUAGUGCUAAUUGCGUAUUUUCUGCGCUCGCAAUUGUGCCAGACCUGCACUUUACUGCUGAUAUUUUUCCCGAAAUUCUGGUACCAACAGCGGCAGGCCAGAACGUUGGCGCAGGAAUACUCAUGCCGAUUUCCGCUCGACGCGUUUAAGUUUCAGGAACGAUCGUCGUCUGCGAACAACAGCGAUGUGGAGAUAAGCGAGAUAACGAUAGCCGAUAUGAAUCCUGAUGAUAUCAGGGCGGAACUGAAACGUCUCUACUUGCAAUUGGAGAUGUUCAAGGCGAAAACGAUUUGCAGGGACAAUCCGCACAUAUCAAAGAGACGAGGUGGCAGGAAGGCUCAACAUCGCCGGUUUAGUUUGCAGAAAUCAAGCCAAAUUUGGCACAGUUCCAGUCCUUAACUUGCCAUUGAAUGCAACCUUUUGCCUAACUUAACCGAGCUUGAAGUUUUUGCGGUUCAAAAUCACAUGCACACACUCAACAUUAACUCAGAUAAUUUCCAUUAAAUCCUCCAUUUAAAAUGAUGCAUGCUGUGAUUAAAAUUUCUUCAAUUUUGGCACUGCAAGAAGAAGGGAAGCAGAGAAAAGGUGCGACGCACUAUGAGCUUGCACUCGAGACGCAAAGAUCGGGAUCGGGAUAGAAAAAGGGAUAUAGACAUGGAUAUAACAGAGGCGGAACCAUCGCGCACUCCCGAAGAUUCGGUCUGUAGCACCGAUGGAGCCAGUGCGAUCUACGCAGACCUACCCGAAGCAAACCAGCCCUACUA